CCUCAAGCAUCUGAGCCGCGUUACAGUUACAAUUUUUACUUUUAUCAGAAAUUGGGUGUUAGGGAUUUUCCCCAGUGUUCCAUCAUUGUCAACGGGAGACUGAAAAAAAAAUACAGCCACGGAGCCCACCAGAUCCUCACCUGCUUGCUGAGAUUAAAGGUAUAUGCCAGCCA